AAAUAACAAGGGAGGACUGUACACAUUUAUUCUGGACUCUUUUAUCCCUAACACAUUCCUAGAAACCUCCAAAACCUGCUACAGUAAAUUCCCAUUGUCUUGUUUCAAAAAUAGUGAAUAACCUGUUGGUAUUUAUUGGUCCCACUGACAAUGAUAUGAAGAACAAAAGAUUUUUUAAAUAACUAUUUCUUGAAAUGAGCAUUCAUCUAUUAAAAUGGCACAAUUUUUUAAAAAUAGGAGGGGU
rnacentral:lncRNA from 1 species